rnacentral:rRNA from 1 species
CCCUUAGAUGUUCUGGGCCGCACGCGCGCUACACUGAUGCAUUCAACGAGUCUAAAACCUGCUCUGAUAGGGGUGGGUAAUCUUUUGAAUGUGCAUCGUGAUUGGGAUAGAUGAUUGAAAUUUUUCAUCUUCAACGAGGAAUGCCUAGUAAACGCAAGUCAUCAGCUUGCAUUGAUUACGUCCCUGCCCUUUGUACACACCGCCCGUCGCUCCUACCGAUUGAAUGAUCCGAUGAAUAUCAUGGAUUGAGGAUGCAAGUAGGUUCACCUAUCUUCAUCUUCGAGAAGUGAAGUAAAUCUUAUCAUUUAGAGGAAGGAGAGGUCGUAACA